GCUGGGCGUGGUGGUGCAUGCCUGUAAUCCCAGCUACUCAGGAGGCUGAGGCAGGAGAAUCGCUUGAACCCGGGAAGCGGAGGUUGCAGUGAGCCAAGAUCAUGCCACUGCACUCCAGCCUGGGCAACAAAGCGAGACUCUGUUUUAA
rfam:Papio anubis isolate 1X1155 chromosome 10, whole genome shotgun sequence.